CGGCGUGCUUAACACAUGCAAGUCGAACGGAAAGGCCCUGCUUUUGUGGGGUGCUCGAGUGGCGAACGGGUGAGUAACACGUGAGUAACCUGCCCUUGACUUUGGGAUAACUUCAGGAAACUGGGGCUAAUACCGGAUAGGAGCUCCUGCUGCAUGGUGGGGGUUGGAAAGUUUCGGCGGUUGGGGAUGGACUCGCGGCUUAUCAGCUUGUUGGUGGGGUAGUGGCUUACCAAGGCUUUGACGGGUAGCCGGCCUGAGAGGGUGACCGGCCACAUUGGGACUGAGAUACGGCCCAGACUCCUACGGGAGGCAGCAGUGGGGAAUAUUGCACAAUGGGCGGAAGCCUGAUGCAGCAACGCCGCGUGCGGGAUGACGGCCUUCGGGUUGUAAACCGCUUUCGCCUGUGACGAAGCGUGAGUGACGGUAAUGGGUAAAGAAGCACCGGCUAACUACGUGCCAGCAGCCGCGGUGAUACGUAGGGUGCGAGCGUUGUCCGGAUUUAUUGGGCGUAAAGGGCUCGUAGGUGGUUGAUCGCGUCGGAAGUGUAAUCUUGGGGCUUAACCCUGAGCGUGCUUUCGAUACGGGUUGACUUGAGGAAGGUAGGGGAGAAUGGAAUUCCUGGUGGAGCGGUGGAAUGCGCAGAUAUCAGGAGGAACACCAGUGGCGAAGGCGGUUCUCUGGGCCUUUCCUGACGCUGAGGAGCGAAAGCGUGGGGAGCGAACAGGCUUAGAUACCCUGGUAGUCCACGCUGUAAACGGUGGGUACUAGGUGUGGGGUCCAUUCCACGGGUUCCGUGCCGUAGCUAACGCUUUAAGUACCCCGCCUGGGGAGUACGGCCGCAAGGCUAAAACUCAAAGGAAUUGACGGGGCCCCGCACAAGCGGCGGAGCAUGCGGAUUAAUUCGAUGCAACGCGUAGAACCUUACCUGGGUUUGACAUGGAUCGGGAGUGCUCAGAGAUGGGUGUGCCUCUUUUGGGGUCGGUUCACAGGUGGUGCAUGGCUGUCGUCAGCUCGUGUCGUGAGAUGUUGGGUUAAGUCCCGCAACGAGCGCAACCCUUGUUCACUGUUGCCAGCACGUUAUGGUGGGGACUCAGUGGAGACCGCCGGGGUCAACUCGGAGGAAGGUGGGGAUGACGUCAAGUCAUCAUGCCCCUUAUGUCCAGGGCUUCACGCAUGCUACAAUGGCUGGUACAGAGAGUGGCGAGCCUGUGAGGGUGAGCGAAUCUCGGAAAGCCGGUCUCAGUUCGGAUUGGGGUCUGCAACUCGACCUCAUGAAGUCGGAGUCGCUAGUAAUCGCAGAUCAGCAACGCUGCGGUGAAUACGUUCCCGGGGCUUGUACACACCGCCCGUCAAGUCAUGAAAGUUGGUAACACCCGAAGCCGGUGGCCUAACCGAUGUGGGGGAGCCGUCGAAGGUGGGACUGGUGAUU
rnacentral:rRNA from 1 species